ensembl:lincRNA
AUCAGGGAACACGCCCAUUUCAUAACUAUCUAUCUAUCUUAUUUAUUUCUUCAUCCACCCAUCAUCCACGCUUCCAUCCACCCACUCACUCAUCCGUCCUUCCAUCCACCCACUCACCCAUCCAUCCAUCCAUUUCUUCAUCCAUCAUCCAUAUCUUCACCCAUCCUCUAUCAUCCACCCAUCCAUCCGUCCAUCCAUCCUUCCAUCCACCCACCCAUCCAUCCAUCCAUCAUCUACACAUCCAUCCAUACGUCUGUCCAUUCAUUUAUCUCUCCAUCCAUCCAUUAUCCAUCCAUCCAUCCAUACACCCAUUUCUUCCAUCCAUACACCCAUUUCUUCCAUCCAUACACCCAUUUCGUCCAUCCAUUCAUCCAUCCAUCAUUUACACAUCCAUCCAUACAUCUGUCCAUUCAUUUAUCUCUCCAUCCAUCCAUCCAUUAUCCAUCCAUCCAUCCAUCAUCUACACAUCCAUCCAUACAUCUGUCCAUUCAUUUAUCUCUCCAUCCACCCAUUAUCCAUCCAUCCAUCUAUCCAUACACCCAUUUCUUCCAUCCAUCCAUCCACCCAUCAUUUACACAUCCGUCCAUACAUCUGUCUAUUCAUUUAUCUCUCCAUCCAUCCAUCCAUUAUCCAUCCAUCCAUCCAUCCUCUACCUAUCCAUCCAUACAUCUGUCCAUUCAGCUCUCCAUCCAUCCGUCCAUCCAUCCUUCCAUCCACCCAUCCAUCCACUCAUUCAUCCAUCUGCUCUUCCAUCCAUCACACAUAUCUCACCCCUCCUCCAUUCUAGAGAAUGGUAUGAAGGACAGGACACUGUUCCUGCCCUGGAAGAGGAUUAAAGUCCCAGGUGAACAGAGGGUACAAAGGCUGUGGCUCCUCAGGAGGAAAAGCCUUGAGCCCCAGCCAGCCUCCAGCACCCAGGCUGGGCUGAGCUUUUCAUCAGGGGCCUCACCACGGGGGACAUUGGGGGUGAGGAGGCAGAACUCAGGACAGGCAGCCAAGGAAGACCUCCUGCCCCUGAGCUGGCCCCGCACGAUGGCUAAGGAUGGCAGGGCCUUCCCACGCCUUCCCUGGAAGACCUCACGCAGCCCAGCCGGACAGAAGCGAAUGGACGGGCCACACUGGGAAGGACGUUUGCGAUGUCUAAAACCGACGGACACUUGGUAUCUAGAACUCCACACGUCAAAUUACACAGCAGCACGACGACGCGGCCUUGGCCGGAAACUAGGGGACGACGCCAAAUGGCAAUUUGCAGCAGGGAAAACCCAGGAGGUGCAGAGGCUAAAGUCAUUAGGAAUCCAGACAUGCAAAUAAAGCCACGCUGUGUGCCCAUUGGACUGGUGAACACGGAGGCACCCGUCGUGCUGAGCACCGCCAGGAUCUCGGGGGGCCCCGCGCCCUGCAGGGAGCCAGGAUUGGGGGCGGGUCUGUCUCCACGUCAUCGACCAACUGUCCUGGAGGGACCUGCAACUUCCCGCCCAAACCCAGUCACUCUUGCAGCCAAAGGGACAAGUGGCGAACACUGGCGAGCAAACACUGGCAAACACUGGUGAACACGGGCAAACACUGGCAAACACUGGGGUGUCUGUAGACUCUUAGGGACGUGCAAUCUCUCUGCCUGGGGUCAGCAGCUCCCCAGGAGGCCCCGAGGUCCCUGAGUGUAGGCCCCAGUGCUUGCUGUGGCCACAGUGGGC